CUUCUUUUGAGGAAAUUUCUGCUCUCUCAUUAUGGGCAGUACGUGUAGGAUUACAAAUCAACACACCUGACUUCUUUUAGCAGUGAGCAAUGGUAGGUUCAUAGCAUGGUGGAGAGCAUACAUAGAACCAAAGCCACUUACAUUCUCUGAGAUCUGAACCUUGAGUGAAGUAAGCCACAGUCUGUUGCUGUUACUUGCAAACAAAGAACCUUCAAUCACUUUAAGGUUGACUAAGACAGCACUUCGUUCAGUCGGGACUUUGGCAUCUAAAUUCUGCCACGAAGAUGUCGCCUGCAGACCUGAAGUCUGACGAUACAUCACUCGGUAGCCUUGGAUAAACUGGGGUUGGCGAUCAACCUGAAAAACAUAGUUAAGGGCAUUUGAAACUAAAGGAAAGUAUUUUAGACAACACAAUGAAUUUGUCCUCUUUUCAUUUGUCCCAUUUCUGUCCUCAUAACUAUCAACUGAGUGAUGUCAUGACUUUCUAGCUAAUCUCUCUGCUUCUAAUAACUUCUAUCCUUUUAGAGUUCAGAUUGCUCCUAAGAUUGUUUCCAAAAUGAAGAUUGGGAGAACUCUCUCUCCUGUUUAAAAUACCUCACAGUAUCUAAGAUACCAACCUAAUUAAUUAAGAUGCCUUGGAUUAGCACAAGGGCCUCUCAAAGGCCAGACCUGCCAGUAUCUCUAACUUUAUGUCUCCUCUGCUUACCCAUUUUCUGCAUCCAACAAUUCCCUUUUAUGUGGCUUUAUAUGUAAUAUGCCCUUUGUCAGGGAUUUCCAUUCUCAUUCUUUGUCUAUUCACUAACAUCAUCACUCAAUCAAAACACAUGUUUUGGGUUCCUACUCAUAGGUGCCAGAAAUUCUGCUGAGCUCUGGGGAUAAAAUGGACAAUGAAAAUAGAGUCAGCCCCUGCCCUCAUGAGCUGAGGUGAGAAGAUGGAGUCCAGGUAGAAGGACGAAAUUUGUUGUUACAGGUGGAAGCAGAAAUGAAAACACUGAACAUUUACUUUAAAAAAAAUAGAGAAGAGAUUACUAUUAACAUUGCCUUUGAAAGCUUACCGUCCAUGUGACCUGAACCGUGGUGGGAGUCAGCACAACUGGAUUAUGAAGACGGACAAGGACAUCUCCUAGCUCUUUCUGCACUUGCCUGUGGUCCACUCCUUGUGCUGGUGGGCUGAUAUCUGCAGUUAGAGAAGAGAAUCAUUCCCACCUUUAAAAAUUCAUAUUAAAAUUACAAUUUAUUUUAUGUAAAUCAACCUCAUGUCUUUAGAACUAAUUACAGGGAAACAAAACGAAAACUCUCUUGUGACAAAAAGCAUUUAAGCCUAUAUAUAUAAAUAUACCACUGUGGUAGGACAUAAUGAAAGAUGAUAUUGAUCUUUAUUAAAAAUAUACUAAUAGAAGAGUAUUUGUAAUCCCUCAUCCGCAUUCAAAUGCAGACACACUGUUGUAUAAGAUCACUUACUUUAUUACUAAAGGAUAAAGUAUGUGCUGUAAGACUUCUCUACAGAAGUCUAGAAAGAUCUCUAGAAAGAGCAGCUUUGUACAGAUGUUGGUGUAUUGAAUGAUUUUCUGGAUGUGUAAAUUGGGAUAUAUCUAAAAACUGAUGCUAAGGGACCUGUUAAUCCCUUGUCCCAAUUUGCAGGUUGUGUUUUCUUCUUGACCUACUUCAGUCUGGGAGCAUGGAUGGAGAAGUAAUGGUGGACUAGGAAAGUGAAUUCUGUCAUUAAAGGCUACAAUGCAUGCAGCACUCUCGCGAAAGUAUUUUUAAGAACAUUUCUCAGCUAUUACUUAAAUUGGGAGCACUAACUUAAAUUGGGUCGUAAAUAAUUGAGACUAAUACUUAGGUAAUGUUUUUCCAGUU
rnacentral:lncRNA from 10 species